rnacentral:rRNA from 1 species
CCUACGGGAGGCAGCAGUGGGGAAUAUUGCACAAUGGGGGAAACCCUGAUGCAGCCAUGCCGCGUGUGUGAAGAAGGCCUUCGGGUUGUAAAGCACUUUCAGUAGGGAGGAAAGGGUGCAGUUUAAUACACUGUAUCUGUGACGUUACCUACAGAAGAAGGACCGGCUAACUCCGUGCCAGCAGCCGCGGUAAU